rnacentral:rRNA from 1 species
ACGGGAAACCGGAGACUAAUACCGGAUAAUAUUUUGAACCGCAUGGUUCAAAAGUGAAAGACGGUCUUGCUGUCACUUAUAGAUGGAUCCGCGCUGCAUUAGCUAGUUGGUAAGGUAACGGCUUACCAAGGCAACGAUGCAUAGCCGACCUGAGAGGGUGAUCGGCCACACUGGAACUGAGACACGGUCCAG